rnacentral:rRNA from 1 species
AGAGUUUGAUCCUGGCUCAGGAUGAACGCUGGCGGCGUGCCUAAUACAUGCAAGUCGAGCGAACGGACGAGAAGCUUGCUUCUCUGAUGUUAGCGGCGGACGGGUGAGUAACACGUGGAUAACCUACCUAUAAGACUGGGAUAACUUCGGGAAACCGGAGCUAAUACCGGAUAAUAUUUUGAACCGCAUGGUUCAAAAGUGAAAGACGGUCUUGCUGUCACUUAUAGAUGGAUCCGCGCUGCAUUAGCUAGUUGGUAAGGUAACGGCUUACCAAGGCAACGAUGCAUAGCCGACCUGAGAGGGUGAUCGGCCACACUGGAACUGAGACACGGUCCAGACUCCUACGGGAGGCAGCAGUAGGGAAUCUUCCGCAAUGGGCGAAAGCCUGACGGAGCAACGCCGCGUGAGUGAUGAAGGUCUUCGGAUCGUAAAACUCUGUUAUUAGGGAAGAACAUAUGUGUAAGUAACUGUGCACAUCUUGACGGUACCUAAUCAGAAAGCCACGGCUAACUACGUGCCAGCAGCCGCGGUAAUACGUAGGUGGCAAGCGUUAUCCGGAAUUAUUGGGCGUAAAGCGCGCGUAGGCGGUUUUUUAAGUCUGAUGUGAAAGCCCACGGCUCAACCGUGGAGGGUCAUUGGAAACUGGAAAACUUGAGUGCAGAAGAGGAAAGUGGAAUUCCAUGUGUAGCGGUGAAAUGCGCAGAGAUAUGGAGGAACACCAGUGGCGAAGGCGACUUUCUGGUCUGUAACUGACGCUGAUGUGCGAAAGCGUGGGGAUCAAACAGGAUUAGAUACCCUGGUAGUCCACGCCGUAAACGAUGAGUGCUAAGUGUUAGGGGGUUUCCGCCCCUUAGUGCUGCAGCUAACGCAUUAAGCACUCCGCCUGGGGAGUACGACCGCAAGGUUGAAACUCAAAGGAAUUGACGGGGACCCGCACAAGCGGUGGAGCAUGUGGUUUAAUUCGAAGCAACGCGAAGAACCUUACCAAAUCUUGACAUCCUUUGACAACUCUAGAGAUAGAGCCUUCCCCUUCGGGGGACAAAGUGACAGGUGGUGCAUGGUUGUCGUCAGCUCGUGUCGUGAGAUGUUGGGUUAAGUCCCGCAACGAGCGCAACCCUUAAGCUUAGUUGCCAUCAUUAAGUUGGGCACUCUAAGUUGACUGCCGGUGACAAACCGGAGGAAGGUGGGGAUGACGUCAAAUCAUCAUGCCCCUUAUGAUUUGGGCUACACACGUGCUACAAUGGACAAUACAAAGGGCAGCGAAACCGCGAGGUCAAGCAAAUCCCAUAAAGUUGUUCUCAGUUCGGAUUGUAGUCUGCAACUCGACUACAUGAAGCUGGAAUCGCUAGUAAUCGUAGAUCAGCAUGCUACGGUGAAUACGUUCCCGGGUCUUGUACACACCGCCCGUCACACCACGAGAGUUUGUAACACCCGAAGCCGGUGGAGUAACCUUUUAGGA